GGCCCGUUCUUCUAGCGGCUCAGGAUGCUGGACUCUCGAUCCGGUGACACGGGUUCAAAUCCCGUACGGGCUA
rnacentral:tRNA from 1 species